rnacentral:lncRNA from 1 species
UAAACCAAAAAAAUAGAAAGAACCGAAAAUUGAUCCUCCCUCAGAUGAGAGUUAUAUCUUUUGAUCCAUUGUAUAACAAUGUCAAUUAGUGAUGUUAAAGAAAAGAAAUUUUGGUCCAAAGGUUUGAAAAAGUAUACAGAGAGUUCGAGAUAACGACUAAAAUAAAUCAUCCAAAGCAGCAGAAAAUUGGUAUUAUCAGCUUUCUUUAACAAAUCGCGAAUAAAUCAGCUGGAGAAGCUUUUCCAACAACCAAACACAUAAUUCUGGAUCAAAAUGUCAAAUGCACAGUCAAGAUUUUUGGAGUAAAUUAAUUCGAUUGGUGCUACACCACAUGCAAUUUAUCC